rnacentral:lncRNA from 1 species
CAUGUCAUGGUUUGUGUCAAGACUCUAGGAGAAGUCUACCAUCAGCACCACAGCUACUGUGCACAAAUCCAGAAUGCCAGACUGAAGUCAGAAGGAAAGAUGAUGCAGCUCAUUGCUGAUGCUGAGAUCCAACGUCCAGUGCCUGAGUACCCCUGGAUUCUGAGCACUAGGGGCUGGACUGUGGAGACCAUCAGUUCAUAACAUCCUGUCCCUGCUCCCUGCUGUAGAUGACUGAGACCAGAAAGAAGAUUGGAAAAAUCUCCCAUGACCAAGGAAAAUUGUGAAAAAUAUUUCUGAUAUUUUGUCUAUGCAUUUUAUUUUUGAGGGUGUUUUUUAUAUUAGUGUGACUAUUUUGUAUUUCCUACCCUGUUGUAAACUUUUUAAAAAUUGCUCUUACAGUUAUUACUAAGUAUAUGAUUUAAAAUCCCUAAUUAGGGUUCUUAAACAAGGGAGAAGCACUCUCAUACCCCUAGAACAAGAUGAACAAAAGAAGGAGGAAAAAUCUUGACCUCCGUAAGAUCCAGGAUGGCACGUGCAAGGCACUGACACAGCAUCUGCCGGCAUCACUGACUCUCCUGGACCCCAGAAGCCCAGUUCCCCAGGCUCUGAAACCCUGCAGCAAUGAAAAGGAAGCACAGGCAAACCAUAAGGAAGAUAA